GAACGAGAAAGUGGAGCAUCCAUGAGUAGAGUGGCGUACGGGUGAGUAACACGUGACUAACCUUCCUUCGAGUGGGGAAUAACCUCGGGAAACCAGGGCUAAUACCGCAUAACAUCACCGGGUGAAACUCCCGAUGAUCAAAGGGGUAAGACGCUUGAAGAGGGGGUCGCGGCUGAUUAGUUAGUUGGCGGGGUAAUGGCCCACCAAGACGAUGAUCAGUAGCCGGCCUGAGAGGGCGCACGGCCACACUGGGACUGAAACACGGCCCAGACUCCUACGGGAGGCAGCAGUGGGGAAUUUUGCGCAAUGGGGGAAACCCUGACGCAGCAACGCCGCGUGGAGGAUGAAGUCCCUUGGGACGUAAACUCCUUUCGACCGGGAAGAUACUGACGGUACCGGAAGAAGAAGCACCGGCUAACUCUGUGCCAGCAGCCGCGGUAAUACAGAGGGUGCGAGCGUUGUUCGGAAUUAUUGGGCGUAAGGGCGCGUAGGCGGCGCGGUAUGUCACCUGUGAAAUCUCCUGGCUCAACUGGGAGCUUGCAGGCGAAACUGCCGUGCUGGAGUGUGGGAGAGGUGCGUGGAAUUCCUGGUGUAGCGGUGAAAUGCGUAGAUAUCAGGAGGAACACCUGUGGCGAAAGCGGCGCACUGGACCACAACUGACGCUGAGGCGCGAAAGCUAGGGGAGCAAACAGGAUU
rnacentral:rRNA from 1 species